ensembl:misc_RNA Metazoa_SRP Metazoan signal recognition particle RNA
GGUACACACAUGUAGUCCCUUCUGCUCUGGAGCCUGAGGCAGGGGGAUUGCUUGAGUCCAGGAAUUCUGGGCUAUAGUGCGUUAUGAUGAUCAGGCGUCUGCACAAAGUUUAGUAAAACUAUGGUGUCCACCAGGAGCAUGGGACCACCAGGUUGCCUGGGGAGGCAUGAACCAGCCCAGGUCGGAAGCGGAAGAGGUCAAAAAUUCCAUGGUGGUCAUUAAUGGUAUUAGGCCUGGGAAUAGCCCCUGCAUGCCAGCCUGGCCAUCACAGCUGAGACCCUGCCUCUG